rnacentral:lncRNA from 1 species
UAAAUAAACUAUUCUACAUGACGCAACAAUGAUAUGUCACAAUACACAAUGAAAGGUUUGCUCCAGCAUGGCCUUGGCCAAGUUAUGCAAAAAUAAAAAAAAUCUCAGCAAAAGAACUCUAAAAAUGUUCACUUUUACGUGGUGAGUUGUAAUUGAAAAGCCGGCCCCAUGAUCUAGUUUCGAUUCUCAGAUGGAAAUCCCUCACUUGGAUCAGCUAAAAUCCUUUGCAGGAUUAGAUUAAUCUCAUUUGUUUCUUCCCUGAAGUUUCGAAAGAAAGACAGUUUCAAGUAAACAUCACAAUGGACAGAAGUGACUACAUUUUAUUUAUAACGUAUAUCGUUAUAAAUUAUACAGCCAUUGUGUAUAUAUAUUAUAAGCUUGUAACACGUAUUUAUACACUAUGGGUUUAAAUCUUUAAUCCUUGAUUAAGGCGUUUAUAUCACGUCUUUAUAAAAUUUAUUAUAAAGGAAUUCAAAACUUCCUUUAGCAUUAAUGUAAACCAGUUAACAACCAAGAAAUCGCUAUUAAAGGAGUAGAAGUGAAACCAACUGAUGAAAGAAAUUUUGUUUUAACGUCCACCGAUGGAAAGCAGAAACAUCUUGUAGAGACGUAAAUGAAAAUUAGAGAAGCUGCUGCUGCUGCUGGUGUUCAUACUUCGAAAGAGAAAUUGUCAGAAUCAUAUGAAAUGUUCUGUCAAGCAGCACUUAAAGCGGGAAACAAUCAAAAUGUAACAUGGGGAUUGACCACUCAAAGAAGGAAAUAUGAUGUAAUGGAGUGCACAGAGAAAAUGCAGAAGAUUCAGAAUUGACUGCUGAACAGGAAAUUUGUUGCAUCACGAACGAUGAUGAUAUUGAUCGCUAGAUUACAGAAAUAACCGGAAGAUUUCCUCACUGACGAGAUUUAGAUCCACACUUUAGAUAUAUACUAGAUGUGCAAAAUUAUUUGCUGAAGAUUUUGAAGAAAUUUACAAGAAAAUGUUGACUUAAAACGAAAACAUUUUUUAUUGAAGGAUUAGAAUUGUACAAAGAAAUUAAAUUCUAUCCAAUGUUGAAAUCAUAUUCAGAUAAAAAGCGGAUGCUUCUCCAGAAGAUGUAACUCGCAUGCCGGACAUCUUUCUAUUAAUUAUACGCAUGUCGGCCAUUAUGCCAUUAAUUCUGUGAGCUGUAUAUUAGGAAAAACUUGUUAAAAUUUACCAUUAUUGCACAGUUUUAUGUUUUCUACCAGAAUGGGGUAUUAUCGAUGAAUAUAUUGAUUGGAUAAUUUUGCCUAAAAAUGAUGAAUUGAAAGCAGAUAAAUUUGAGAAGAGAUGAACGAUUAGAAAUCGCUGAUAAAAAAAAUAACGAAUCUAAAAUGAUAUCAGAUAAAAGAAAGAAAUUGACUCGACAGACACGAUGUAUGAAAGAGUAUAGAAAACGUUUAUAGGAAACAGUAUAUAGCCAUUGAAGAUCUAAAUUUAUACUUUCAUUGAAGAUGUAAAUUUCUAAACCACAACAGAAACGACGAUGAUGGCAAUACGCGUGUAUAUGCUAAUAUUUGUACAUAUGUACGUGUUAAUUGUUCGAAAUUUAACUAUUGGAAAAUAUAUGAACAUUAUGUUAUCAUUUAAUCAUAUUAUACGCAUUUUCAUUGGUGGAAAUAAUAAUUAAAGGUUAUUUUAUUGAUGUUUUCAAGAUUUACCAUUCAAAAUAAAUAUUUCAACAUUCUUUCAUGGAAGAGUAUU